rnacentral:rRNA from 1 species
ACGCUGGCGGCAGGCCUAACACAUGCAAGUCGAGCGGUAGAGAGAAGCUUGCUUCUCUUGAGAGCGGCGGACAGGUGAGUAAUGCCUAGGAAUCUGCCUGGUAGUGGGGGAUAACGUUCGGAAACGGACGCUAAUACCGCAUACGUCCUACGGGAGAAAGCAGGGGACCUUCGGGCCUUGCGCUAUCAGAUGAGCCUAGGUCGGAUUAGCUAGUUGGUGAGGUAAUGGCUCACCAAGGCAACGAUCCGUAACUGGUCUGAGAGGAUGAUCAGUCACACUGGAACUGAGACACGGUCCAGACUCCUACGGGAGGCAGCAGUGGGGAACAUUGGACAAUGGGCGAAAGCCUGAUCCAGCCAUGCCGCGUGUGUGAAGAAGGUCUUCGGAUUGUAAAGCACUUUAAGUUGGGAGGAAGGGCAUUAACCUAAUACGUUAGUGUUUUGACGUUACCGACAGAAUAAGCACCGGCUAACUCUGUGCCAGCAGCCGCGGUAAUACAGAGGGUGCAAGCGUUAAUCGGAAUUACUGGGCGUAAAGCGCGCGUAGGGUGGUUUGUUAAGUUGGAUGUGAAAUCCCCGGGCUCAACCUGGGAACUGCAUUCAAAACUGACUGACUAGAGUAUGGUAGAGGGUGGUGGAAUUUCCUGUGUAGCGGUGAAAUGCGUAGAUAUAGGAAGGAACACCAGUGGCGAAGGCGACCACCUGGACUAAUACUGACACUGAGGUGCGAAAGCGUGGGAGCAAAC